GUGCUCGCUUUGACAGCACAUAUACUAAAAUCGGAAGGAUACAGAGAAGAUUAGCAUGGCCCCUGCACAAAGAUGACAUGCAAAUUCGUGAAGCGUUCCUGAGGAGA
rnacentral:snRNA from 1 species